UGGGUAACCAACGUCUGUGCC
rnacentral:siRNA from 1 species